rnacentral:piRNA from 4 species
UUCAGUGGUAGAAUUCUCGCCUGC